UACGUAGGGUGCAAGCGUUAAUCGGAAUUACUGGGCGUAAAGCGUGCGCAGGCGGUUGUGCAAGACAGAUGUGAAAUCCCCGGGCUCAACCUGGGAACUGCAUUUGUGACUGCACGGCUGGAGUGCGGCAGAGGGGGGAUGGAAUUCCGCGUGUAGCAGUGAAAUGCGUAGAUAUGCGGAGGAACACCGAUGGCGAAGGCAAUCCCCUGGGCCUGCACUGACGCUCAUGCACGAAAGCGUGGGGAGCAAACAGG
rnacentral:rRNA from 1 species